rnacentral:rRNA from 1 species
CACCGCGGUUAUACGAGUGGCUCAAAUUGAAAUUCCACGGCGUAAAGCGUGAUUAGAGAAAGAAGAACUAAAGCCAAAAAUACCCCCUGCUGUUAUACGCUUACGGGGAAAGAGGCCCCACACGAAAGUAGCUUUAAUUAAUAUUGAAUUCACGACCAUUGAGAAA